rnacentral:rRNA from 1 species
GAGUUUGAUCUUGGCUCCCAGAUUGAACGCUGGCGGCAUGCCUUACACAUGCAAGUCGAACGGCAGCACGGGAGCUUGCUCCUGGUGGCGAGUGGCGAACGGGUGAGUAAUGCAUCGGAACGUAUCCUGGGAUGGGGGAUAACGUAGCGAAAGUUACGCUAAUACCGCAUAUUCUCGUGGAGCGAGGAAAGCGGGGGACCUUCGGGCCUCGCGCUCUUGGA